rnacentral:tRNA from 1 species
GGGUUCGUAGCCUAGUCAGGACAAGGCGACAGCCUCCUAAGCUGUAGAUCGGGGGUUCAAAUCCCCCCGGGCCCG